rnacentral:rRNA from 1 species
CCUACGGGGGGCAGCAGUGGGGAAUAUUGGACAAUGGGGGCAACCCUGAUCCAGCGACGCCGCGUGUGUGAAGAAGGCCUGCGGGUUGUAAAGCACUUUUAGUGGGGAGGAAAACCCCCGACCUAACACGUCGGGAAUUGACUUAACCCAAAGAAAAAGCACCGGCUAACUCUGUGCCAGCAGCCGCGGUAAUACAGAGGGUGCAAGCGUUAAUCGGAAUUACUGGGCGUAAAGCGUGCGUAGACGGUUUAUUAAGUCGGAUGUGAAAUCCCCGGGCUCAACCUGGGAAUUGCAUUCGAGACUGAUCAGCUAGGGUACGGAAGAGGGAAGCGGAAUUUCCGGUGUAGCGGUGAAAUGCGUAGAUAUCGGAAGGAACAUCAGUGGCGAAAGCGGCUUCCUGGUCCAGUACCGACGUUCAGGCACGAAAGCGUGGGGAGCAAACAGGAUUAGAUACCCUGGUAGUCCACGCCAUAAACGGUGGGCACUAGAUGUGGGGACCUUCCACGGUCUCUGCGUCGCAGCUAACGCAUUAAGUGCCCCGCCUGGGGAGUACGGCCGCAAGGCUAAAACUCAAAGGAAUUGACGGA